UGAAUACGAGACGCUAAGGCGUCGAAGUAGUGUAUGUCAUACUUCCAAGAAAAGCUUGCACUGUCAUAGAUAAAAAACGCCUGUACCAUAACCGACACAGGUGGGUAGGUAGAGUAUACUAAGGGGCGCGAGAUAACUCUCUCUAAGGAACUCGGCAAAAUAACUCCGUAACUUCGGGAGAAGGAGUGCCUUAUUCUUAAGGUUGCAAUAACAAGAUCCAAGCAACUGUUUAUCAAAAACACAGGUCUCCGCUAAGUCGUAAGACGAUGUAUGGGGGCUGACGCCUGCCCAGUGCCAGAAGGUUAAAGAAGCUGGUUAGCAUUUGCGAAGCUAGUAGCUGAAGCCCUGGUGAACGGCGGCCGUAACUAUAACGGUCCUAAGGUAGCGAAAUUCCUUGUCGGGUAAGUUCCGACCCGCACUAAAGGCGUAAUGAUUUGGAUACUGUCUCGGAGAGGGGCUCGGUGAAAUAGACUUGUCUGUGAAGAUGCGGACUACCUGCACCAGGACAGAAAGACCCUAUGAAGCUUUACUGUAACUUGAAAUUGAAAUUGGACUUUAUUCGCGCAGUAUAGGUGGGAGGCGUUGAUUAUAAUCUUGCGGGAUUAUUGGAGCCAUUAGUGAGAUACCACUCUUGUAAUGUUAGAUUUCUAACUUUGAAUCAUUAUCUGGUCAAAGAACAGUUUCAGGCGGGCAGUUUGACUGGGGCGGUCGCCUCCCAAACGGUAACGGAGGCGUACAAAGGUUUCCUCUGAACGGUUAGAAAUCGUAUCUAGAGUGUAAAGGCAUAAGGAAGCUUGACUGUGAGACCUACAAGUCGAGCAGGGACGAAAGUCGGUCUUAGUGAUCUGACGGUACUGAGUGGAAAGGCCGUCACUCAACGGAUAAAAGUUACUCUAGGAUAACAGGCUGAUCUCCCCCAAGAGUUCACAUCGACGGGGAGGUUUGGCACCUCGAUGUCGGCUCAUCGCAUCCUGGGGCGGUAGUACGUCCCAAGGGUUGGGCUGUUCGCCCAUGAAAGCGGUACGCGAGCUGGGUUCAGAAUGUCGUGAGACAGUUCGGUCCAUAUCCGGUGUAGGCGUUAGAAUAUUGAGAGGAGCCUUCUUUAGUACGAGAGGACCGAGAAGGACAUACCUCUGGUGUACCAGUUAUCGUGCCAACGGUAGACGCUGGGUAGCUAUGUAUGGAGUGGAUAACCGCUGAAAGCAUCUAAGUGGGAAGCCCACCUCAAGAUAAGUAUUCUC
rnacentral:rRNA from 1 species